rnacentral:rRNA from 1 species
ACUCAAAUGAAUUGACGGGGGCCCGCACAAGCAGCGGAGCGUGUGGUUUAAUUCGACGCAACACGAAGAACCUUACCCAGACUUGACAUGUGCCUGCAGGCCGCGGAAACGCGGCGGCCUACGAGGGAGGCACACAGAUGCUGCAUGGCUGUCGUCAGCUCGUGUCGUGAGAUGUUGGGUUCAGUCCCGCAACGAGCGCAACCCCUACGGCCAGUUGUAUGUUUCUGGCUGGACUGCCCGUUUUGGGAGGAAGGCGGGGAUGAGGUCAAGUCCGCAUGGCUCUGACGUCUGGGGCAACACACACGCUACAAUGAUGCCAGCAAUGCGCCGCCACCGGGCAACCGGGCGCAAAUCGAGAAAGGGCAUCCCAGUGCAGAUCGGGGGCUGCAACUCGCCCCCGUGAAGGCGGAGUUGCUAGUAACCGCGUAUCAGCGAUGGCGCGGUGAAUACGUACCCGGGCCUUGUACACACCGCCCGU